rnacentral:tRNA from 1 species
GAGGGUAUAGCUCUGUGGUAGAGUGCAUGCCUAGUAUGCAAGACGUUCUGGGCUCAAUCCCCAGUACUUCCA